GUCAUUUCAGACUCUUAACAAUUACAGCUGAAGGAAGGCUGGAGCCAAUUUUAAUCAGCAGGCUGCCUGGUAUACACCUCAACUACAGGGAAGAGUAGAGCAGGAAACCUGUAUUCUGAAUGAACCAGCGUCCAGAGGGUUGUUUCUGUCUUGCUACCACCAAGUUAGAAAGCUGGAGUCUGUUCUCUCUCGGCACGAUCCUGCCCCGCUCCCCAUGCCUCCAUCGAGCAGAUUGUGGCACACAAGCCCGCAGCAGCAAAAAGCAUCCCCACUGCCACCAAGCAAGAGUAAAUUUUCACUGAGAAGCUGUAGAAGUGCUUUUUACUGCUAAAGCUUAAGGUAAUUGUGUGUAUCUGUGGAGGCUUUCGUGGACUUCAACGAGUCAAGUGCUUCUGCAUAGCCACAGAAAAUUAUUCAGAGCUAGUCUGGGGAAGAACACUUCAAAUCUCAUCCUUCAUAUGACAUUCAUCCUAUUUUUCUUCUCCGUAUCAGCUGUUCUGCAGGGAGGUACAGGGGCUGUGGUUGCUUCUCUUCAAUUUGGAGGGGCUGGAGCUGGAGAGAGGUACCUUGUCUUUAUGUCCCAUGCCAAUGGGACCCUCGCAGUGCUCAUCCAGAAUGAAUGCUAAGUAUUUAUGUUAUGAGGAACUUAGCAAUAAACUCAA